UGAAAUAUGAAGUUUUAUUAAAAGAAAAGGGUGAAAAGAACAAAGUUUUGUCCAUCUUUGUUCAUCAUAGCUGAAAGUUAGAGAAGAGAAAGGAGAGGAGAAAGCUCUUGAGUAUUCGGUCAUUAGGAGGAGGAAAAUUGAAGGAAAUCCCCAACCAUAGUGGGCUUGGAGCUGUGAGGGAAUUCGGAGUGGCCACCCGUUCUGAAAGUUUGAUUUUCUUCUGGUGAACUAGACAUCCUAUUAUUACGUUGAGGUUUGGGUUUUUAAAUGUAAUAAGGCCGCUUAAUUAUUUUUGAUGGUUUUAAUAUGUAUUACUAAGAUAGGUAUUACUUA